UUUUUCACUUGCCCCGUUGCUAGGGUGGUUUGGAGAUCUAUUGGGGUGGUGCUGGGCACUGAUCUGUGCCGUAACAACUAUUGCCAAUAUUUCGUCUGGUGCAGUAAAUUUCUUCCUGGCAAAGAAACCUUCUAUACUGUGGGCUUAGCUGCUACUUGUUGGGCCAUCUGGCUGGCGCGUAAUCGAGCCACCUUUGAGAAAAACAGAUUAAGACUCCUUUUGAGAUUGGUUUCUCCCUCUGUUUGUUUCUUUUGUACUAGACAGGUUUGCAGAAAGGAGAGGCGGCUGGAGAGCUUCGCGCAGGUGCAGAGAUGA
rnacentral:rRNA from 1 species